rnacentral:lncRNA from 1 species
AUCUCUUGUGCUUUGUGAAGUCAUCAGCAUCAUCAUCAUCAUCCUUUUUCUUCCUUUUCAGAGUUUGAGUAGUAGACUUGCAUUUGACUUGAGCUACUCUCUCCCCCUUUUUGGCAUCAUCCUCAUCAGGAAUCAGAAUUGAUGUGAUCAGAGAAAGUGAUGUUUGGAUAGCUUCCAGCUGCUUUGACAUCUUUUCUUGAUUUGAUUCAAUCAAGGUCAUCCUCUGGUCCAGAGAUUCAUUUGCAGUGACCAGCUUCUGUACACUUUCUUUUAUAGGAUUGAUGGUCCUUUUCUUUUCCAGUUCAUUUGUCUCCUUGACCUUUGCCACC